rnacentral:lncRNA from 1 species
AAAAAGACUGGCAACAGUUGUUAGCCUAGGUGCCAAUCUAAAAAAAAAAAGAAAAUUUUCGUUUUGCUAUAAAGUCCAAACAACUUCUAGGGCCAGUGUAAUGGGUCAGAAAUAUGCUGUUUGUGAGUGUUACUCCCUACAGAAAGGUCAUAAACGCUCUCUUAUGUGCCUCGGUUUCUCCCUCGGGCAGUCUAGCACCUCAGUGGGGCCUCAGAGCGUGAGUGACCAACCCUUAUGUGCACUUUCCUGAACCAGCCGUCAUAAAUUACUGUGAAUGAUGGUGGCAUUCCCUAUGGGGCCGCUGCACGUCAUGGGGCAUUCGAUCCUCCAGCCCUCCUGCUGAGGCCCUCAGUUGCCUGAGAACGCCUCUCAGCCUGGAGGAGCAGUGUCCCUUUUCUUCAGAGCUGAACACGUUCAGACUCUCAUUUCUUUAUCAAGCAGUUUGUUCAGACUUGAUAAACACAAUUCUUUCCAAUUUAAAGCUAAAUUGAACAGGUCAGCCUGCCCCAUUCACUCCAAAGUUCCCACUAGGCUCCCCUGGCCUAGGCAUUCCCUCAGGGUUCUCACCGAGGGUGUGUCCUGGGGCCCCUAAGACACCUAGUCUUAAGGUUUGAAACAGCUCAUAUAACCUCUUGGACCAUCAACCUGAAAUAGGGACAUCCGGGUUUCAGGAGAACGCUCCAGGGUCACCUGAAGAAUGCAGUGAUCCAGGGGGCUCAAUGGGCCCCUGUUGGUACCGAAUGCCAGUUCAGUGUAGAUUCCGGGUGUUCUCCGGUGGGUUUCUCUGAAAUCCUGCUGUGAUCACGCCAAGAAAUGUCAACGAAAAUAAUCCAUAGCCGAUGUAUAAAUGAAAAUUGGGCUGAGUUUAUUGUGAGCCAGAUCUGAGGAUUAGCUUAGCCCUGGGCCUUCCUUCUCUAAGGAAGGGCCCCCAAGAAGAGGGAGUGUACAGAGUGGUUCUGUACCGUCAAAGAGCAUCUAUCACAUAUGAUUGACAGUUACCUUUCACAAGAGUCUCGGGAUUGCCCUGUGAGCACAGCUAUUCACACAGCAGGUAGCCCGACUUUUGUCUCAAUGUGGGUGGUCACUGGCUGGGCACAGCAAACAAUUUCUAGCCUAGGGAGAGAUGCUCAUCCUUAAGGAAAUGCCAAUGUGGGGGUAGUUGCACCUUUAUCUUAAGGCCACUUGUUCUUGUCUUUGGGACACAGCAAAUGCUUAAAGCAGGCAUACAGUGCAUGCUCAACGGCCAUAUUAGGACCUUUUGGGGAAAAAAACAAUGUCAGGCUGAAGUAGGUUUAGACCAAAUGGCUUCCUCACAGACUCCAACAGAUCCUAUUGUUAGCCAUUUGUUUAUCAAUCCAAAGGAAACCAAAUCACUACCUCUGAGAGACAUCUGCUCUCCCAUGCUCAUUGCAGCAUUAUUCACAAUAGCCAAGACAUGAAGACGACCUCAGGGACCUUCAACAGACAAGAGGAUAAAGAAAAUGUGACAGAGAGAGACAGUGGAAUACUAUUCAGCCAUAAAAAAGGAAGUCCUGGCAUUUGCAACAACAUGGAUACACUUGGGUGCAUUAUGCUAGGUGAAAUAAUUCAGACAGAGAAAAAAUACUGUAUGAUAUCACUUAUAUGUCGAAUCUUAAAGAAAUGAACUCAUAGAAACAGAAUUGAAUGGUGCCUGCCAGAGGAAGGGGUGGGGGAGGGGGGAAAUGAGUAAAGGGGUCAAAAAGUACAAGGUAUCUUUAUUUAUAAGAUAAGUUCUGGGACUCUAAUGCACAGUGUGCUCAAUAUAGUCAAUUUUGUAUAUUUACAUAUAAAUUUUGUAUAUUUAAUAUCGCCCUUUUGUAUAUUUCAAAGAUGUACAUAAUCAAAUGUUCAUGUUGUACAUCUGAAAGUAAUACAAUGCUGUAUGUCAAUUAUAUGCCAAUAAAACUGAAAGAAAAAAGAAAACUUUUAAAAAGAGCUUCUGCGAUGGAACACUUUCCACUCGGUGCUUUGAUAUCGAUUUCCAGUGAAGUCACUGCCCCCUGGAGUUCCUGAGAAAAACGACUGAGUGUGAACAAGACCCCCUGCUCAGAGUUAGCAUGCUGAGCGAGAAAUGGCAGAAAUCAGUACAUCUGAGUCAUAUGCAGAUACGGAUUAAUCAAGGCAUUAUUAACUCAGAAAUAUCAAAGUUCCUCAUUACUCGAAUUUAACUGAGCCAAAAGGUGUUUGUAUUACAAAAACUUUGCCCCCUGAAAGGAAGAACUUUUUAGGGAGGAAAAUGCUUCUAUCAUUCUGUUCCUAGCAUUAGCAUUCGCUAGUUCAUAUCUAGUAAAGCCCUCCCCACAGACGCAUCAUUAAUAAAACACUCAGAAUGGCUUCUCUCUCAAAAAAAAAAAAUACAUCUGUUGAUGAAAGUGUCCUCCAUGGGCAGGCCGUGGGCCCCCUCUGGCCAGACCCCCUUUUCACCUUUGGGGCCAAGCAAGCCUCUGGGUGGCUCUGGGCUCUUGCCCCGGAGGGAGGAGCUGGCAGGGAACCAGAGCCUCCCUUUCUCAGGUGGAUCCGUGGGGAGGAGAGGGGAAGGGAGCUUAUGGCCCCAGCAGGCUGGGCUCCUGCUGGUGGCACCAAGGAGAAUGACAUCUCUGGCCUGCAGGUGUGGGACCCGUACCCAAGGUGUCCAGCCGUCUCCUUCCUCAGGACAGGGGACGGGGCAGUCUGAGGAAGGUGCCAGAUCAGGGAGGCAGCUCGAUUCUCUUACACCCCAUCUCUUUACCGUUCUCCUUCCUGGGUUAUUUUUAGCCAGCUUCCAGAUCUGAUGUGAUUUCAUCAUUUGAGCAGCCUCUUCCUCUCCUCUCCAUCUGGGCCUUCAGACAGGGUGGGAGCUUCCUGAGGCUGAAUUCUUUUCCUUUCCUGGAAAAGACCUCCCUGGCUGCCCAGGCCUGAUGUGGUUCAAGACACGCCCUGUGGCAGGUGCCCGGUGCUAAGGCAGUACCAUGCGCCCUGGUGCAGCUGUGUCCUGCGGGCCCGGUCUCUCCACUGCGGGGCAGGCCCCUCGUUCCAGAGGGUUGCUGCAGACACAGCUUCCUCCCACAACCGAUUUAAGCAGAAGGACGUUCCUUCAGGUGCUACCGGCCAGUUGGCAGAAUUGCUGGGGCUUCAGGCUGGAGAAUCUCAGUGAGGAUGAAGGUCAGCUUCACACCGCAGAACAGGUGAGGUGUGGAUGGCACGCCCUGCACGACCACCCUGCCAGCCCUGCACACAAGGGCCUGCAGCCUGCUGCCCCUAAGAGCCCGGUCAGGAGCACUGUGGUCACCACCUGGGCACAGGCUCCUAGCCCACAGACAGACCCUGGCGGUCCCUGCUUCCUUAUCGCACCAGAUGCUAAGUUCAAGCCUGAGGCAGGGGCGCCUGGAGAGCCCAACUCAUCUGGGCUCUCCGCGGAUUUCCUGCUUUUAGCACUGAAACACCCCUGUCCCAGAAACCCUUCCAGCAGGGACAAGCCAGGAUGGCUGCUUUGCUCACUUCUUGGAGCUGCCAGAACAAAUGACCACAAACAGGGAGCUUGAAGCCACAGGAAUUCAUUCUCUCCCUUUCGGAGGCCCUGGGGGAAUCCUUCCUGCCUCCGCCGGCUCCUCCUGGCACCGCCUCACCCUCCGUGCCAUCCUCACUUGACUCCUCACCAACAGCACUCCUCCCCUUUGUCCCUCACAGACUCCCCGCCUCCCGCUCCUCCCAGGUGUGAGUCAUCGCCUCGUCCCCUCCCAGUCUCAUGCAUCGCACCCAUCCCCAUCGUCCGCCAUCGCCUCACCUCCUGGCGCUCCUUCCGCAGCGUCCCUCACAGAUUCCCUGCCUCGCGUUCGUCCCCAUCGACCCUCACAGCAUCGAAUUCGUCCCCAUCGACCCCAUCGCCUCAUCUCCUCACCGCCUUGAGCUCCUUCCGCGUCGCCCCCCACAGACUCCCCGCCUCCCGCUCCUCGCCAGCUUGACUCAUCGCCUCACAGCCUCAUAGCUUUGCAGGCGUCCCCAUCCGUCCUAACACCAACGCCCUCGUCCCCAUCGUCCCUCACCGCAUCGAACUCAGCCCCGUCUUCCCUCAAGGCAACGCAGGCGUCUCCGUCCUCCCUCAUCACAUCGCACUCGUCUCCCUCGUCCCUCCUCGCCUCACCGCCUCAUCGCAUCGCAGGCGUCCCCAUCCUCCCCAUUGUAUCGCGCGCUCGUCCCCAUCCUCCCCCAUCGCAUCCCACUGGAGCCCAUCGUACCCAUCGCCUCACUGCCCAGCGCUCUCCUUCCGCGUCCUCUCUCACAGACUCCCCGCCUCCCGCUCCUCCCCAGCGUGACUCAUCGCCUCACAGCCUCAUCCCAUUGCAGGCGUCCCAAACCUCCAUCGUAGGAUCGCACUCGUCCCCAUAGUCCCUCACCGCAUCGCGCUCCUCCUCAUUGUCCCCGAUCGCAUCGCACUGGUCCCCAUUGUCCCUCAUCGCAUCGCGCUCGUCCAUAUGGUCCCCGGUCGCAUCGGACUCGUCCCCAUCGUCCCUCACCGAAUCGCACUCGUCCCCAUCGUCCCUCAUCGCAUCCCCUCGUCAGCAUCGUCCCGGGUCCCAUCGCAGUCGUCCCCAUCGUCCCCAUCGCCUCACCGCCUGGCGCUCCUUCCGC